AGUGAACGCUGGCGGUAGGCCUAACACAUGCAAGUCGAACGGCAGCACAGUAAGAGCUUGCUCUUACGGGUGGCGAGUGGCGGACGGGUGAGGAAUACAUCGGAAUCUACUUUUUCGUGGGGGAUAACGUAGGGAAACUUACGCUAAUACCGCAUACGACCUACGGGUGAAAGCAGGGGAUCUUCGGACCUUGCGCGAUUGAAUGAGCCGAUGUCGGAUUAGCUAGUUGGCGGGGUAAGGGCCCACCAAGGCGACGAUCCGUAGCUGGUCUGAGAGGAUGAUCAGCCACACUGGAACUGAGACACGGUACAGACUCCUACGGGAGGCAGCAGUGGGGAAUAUUGGACAAUGGGCGCAAGCCUGAUCCAGCCAUACCGCGUGGGUGAAGAAGGCCUUCGGGUUGUAAAGCCCUUUUGUUGGGAAAGAAAAGCAGCAGGUUAAUACCCCGCUGUUCUGACGGUACCCAAAGAAUAAGCACCGGCUAACUUCGUG
rnacentral:rRNA from 1 species